rnacentral:misc_RNA from 1 species
GCAAACUUGGUCAUUUAGAGGAAGUAAAAGUCGUAACAAGGUUUCCGUAGGUGAACCUGCGGAAGGAUCAUUAACAAAAAAUAUUAUUAUUAUAAUGUUAAUUAUUCACCCAAUUUUAUGUGAAGUUUUGUAUAAAAGUGUGAUAACUCUGGUAUGGUUUUUUUCGAAUGGUCAUCUUUUAGGUGAGGUUUGAGAAAUAAAUUGCCUGCCAGUAGUUUUAUCUAAUAAACUAUUGUUAUAUUUUUGUGUAUGUAUUUGUUUUAUUCUGAUGAAAGUUACUGAUGAAUUUCACCUGAAAUGAAUUAGAAAACUGAAUUCAAAAAUUAACUCAAUACAACUUGCAACAAUGGAUCUCUUGGCUCUUGCAUCGAUGAAGAACGCAGC